GGAAGGGGAAAGGAGAAAGCCAGGUUAACUACGUCAGGAUUAAUGUGUUCCACUUCUGCUGCCUGAGAAAAUGGAGAAAUUAAGUCCUUUCCAUGGAUCAUUCCUUCUGUAAACAGAGAUCACAAAGCAAGAGCUUCAGCAUCCUCGUGAAAAAGACAUUUUGUUCUGGGUGUCAUCAUCUCCUUCCACUACAGCUUGCAAUUGGAACAAGCUUCACAUCCUGGGGGUGCUGCCUAUCUCUGUCUUGAUUUCUGCCUGUCUAUUCCUCCCAUUGACAGGAAUGUCGUUUGUAUCCUCCACGCAGCAGUUUGCAGAAAUCCAGCAAGGUUUAUGGUUUAUGUUGCCCAGCAUGUAUAAACACAACGCUCUCAAAUGCUUUUUAAAAAUCUAUGAAUUUGUUAGACGUCUUCACAUCCUGGUCCUCCUACCCCAAUUCUCAAACACAAAGUACUCUGUUGCCCUAUUAUAGUCCUGCGAUAGUUCUGGCUAGGAUUAGGUUGACGGUCUA
rnacentral:lncRNA from 1 species